GUGAUGGCGAAGUGACAGCGCGCCCGGUGCACGCUGAGAGGAGGCCCCGCUUCAGCCUCAGGACUCGGCUCUUACUCCAGGGAGCUCCGUUCCUCCGGAAGUGGUUGACAUUGCCAAGGCAUACCUACUGGCCUCCCCUGUGCGCCUCGUCUCCUCCAGCCGACCCCGUGCCUGCCCUGUUGUGCGGUCCGUGUCUAUGCAGCUGGAGCCCCGGCGGCCCGGAGCUGGGGAUGUGUGUCACUCGUCUUUGCUUUCCCAGUGUGGAGCCUGGAACACGGAUCUCUGGAGAGAUUAGGGGUAAUCUAAAAAUCACGUUUUCAUUAAUGUUCCUGAUUCUGCACCCUGACCAUGUGUUAUCUGUGUAAGUAUCAAAAGUAACAAAAGAUUUUAAGGACACCCAGGGACGUGGAAGGUGGAGUGGACAUUGGUCUGGAAAUGAUAGGGAAAUAACAAAAGCUAGGGGCGUGAGUGCACUCGGGCAGCACGGGGCCGGG
rnacentral:lncRNA from 1 species